rnacentral:rRNA from 1 species
ACUAAAUAGAUACCCGGGUAGUCCACGCCGUAAACGAUGGAUACCAGCUGUUCGGAGCAAUCUGAGUGGCUAAAAGCGAAAAAGUGAUAAGUAUCCCACCUGGGGAGUACGCACGCAAGUGUGAAACUCAAAGGAAUUGACGGGGGCCCGCACAAGCGGUGGAGCAUGUGGUUUAAUUCGAUGAUACGCGAGGAACCGUUACCAGGGCGUUAAAUAGUAGAUUGACAGGACUGGAAACAGUUUUUCUUUCGGACAAUUUACAAGGUGCUGCAUGGUUGUCGUCAGCUCGUGCCGUGAGGUGUCAGGUUAAGUCCUAUAACGAGCGCAACCCCUCGUCGUUAGUUGCCAGCGAGUCAUGUCGGGAACGUCUAACGAGACUGCCAGUGUAAACUGUGAGGAAGGUGGGGACGACGUCAAAUCAUCACGGCCCGUUACGUCCUGGGCCACACACGUGCUACAAUGGUAGGUACAGAGAGCAGCCACUGCGCGAGCAGGAGCGAAUCUACAAAACCCGUAUCUCAGUUCGGUAUCGGAGUCUGC